rnacentral:rRNA from 1 species
AAAAGCAGCGAUUCCACCUUGUAGCCCAACCCCAUCAGAUCUCACAAGCUAAGCGAGGUUGGGUCUUAUCAGCACCAGAAUGGGAGACCUCCAAGCAAAAUCAUUUUGCUGCUAUAA